UUGAAUGAUGAUAAUACAAAUAGGAAGUGCCGUCAGAUGCGAUAACUGAUGAUGCUGUAUUUCAUUUCUGACU